rnacentral:rRNA from 1 species
AUACGUAGGGGGCAAGCGUUAUCCGGAUUUACUGGGUGUAAAGGGAGCGUAGACGGUGUGACAAGUCUGAUGUGAAAACCCGGGGCUCAACUCCGGGAUUGCAUUGGAAACUGCCAUACUUGAGUGCAGGAGAGGUAAGCGGAAUUCCUAGUGUAGCGGUGAAAUGCGUAGAUAUUAGGAGGAACACCGGCGGCGAAGGCGGCUUACUGGACUGUAACUGACGUUGAGGCUCGAAAGCGCGGGGAGCAAACAGGAUUAGAUACCCUGGUAGUCCACGCGGUAAACGAUGAAUACUAGGUGUUGGGGGUCUAUAGACCCUCGGUGCCGCAGCAAACGCAAUAAGUAUUCCACCUGGGGAGUACGUUCGCAAGAAUGAAACUCAAAUGAAUUGACGGGG